CUCUCACUCUAGGAGCUCAAGGCAGCCGAGACAUUCUUUGUCAUUAUUAUUUGAUUCCAUUCAUCAUCCCGGCCCACAACAAAGAACACUGCUAUGUACAAUUUAAAUAAAGUUUAGUGUGACACUCGCACUGACAAGCUGAAGUAUCCAUUCAAGAAGCAGCAGAAUAUGUGCAUGUCUAUGCAAAAUAAAGAUGAAUGCUGGGGGAAACAGACAGUGGGUGAUUAAGGUGCACAAGUUUGUGGCCGAUCUGUCAUGCUAUCCCUAUUGUCUUAUGAUACCUUAUCAUUAGUUUCCCUGACAAUGAUUUAGCAGUCAUUGUCGGGGAAGUAUUCCCCCUCAUUGCCUUGCACUGUGUUUAAACGUAACCUUCUUUCAGGAACAGCUGCCAUUCGUCACUUUUGACCUGUCAAGCAAGACAAAAUUGGACACUUCCAACCGUGGCCUUUUGUCCUGACACGGGCAGGCAGGUCGUGGCCUCGUGACUGUUAAAUAAGAACCAGGGGCAGGUCAGCGUGCAGGCCAAGGAACGGUUGAAAGCGAGCCCCCUGGUCCCUCUCUCUGGCAGCCAACAGCUGAUGCAGAAAGUCACCAUCCAUCUCUCGCAGGAUGUUAAUGAUGCAGCUUUUGGGAGGAGAGGAACUAAGACCUACUUUGCAGAUCAUCCGUGCCUAAAGCUGGGGGAAUAGUGUCUGGAGAAAGUCUAUCCUCCACAAAACCAGGAGAAAUAUUGUCUUUUAACAGCCACAUGAAAGGAGAGAUGCUGUGAGCCACUUCAACACGACAGAAUAGCCUGCAGGGAUUUAAACCGACUGAGAAGCGUCUCGGGCAGAUGCUGUCACGUACACCGUGCAAACUCACCGUUUAUGUGGGAAUUAUAAGCAAAUAGUUAUUAUUUUCAUGAAAUGGAGCAUUCCCAUUUUAACUAGGGCUAGAAAUGUUAAAAUAUUGAAAAAUCUAUUAAACAUUAAAUGUGGAAUACUUGCUACAUCUGUCUCCAGCUAAUUGAGAUGCUACCAAGAAUGUUAGGACUCAGGAGAAUAAUUUGUCGGUGCAAAAACAUGGAAUGGACCAAUUUAUUGCUCGCUGCAGGCUGCGGAGUUCCAACAGGCUUUGAUCAACCUUUUUAGGUCAGUAUCACUUGAAAUACAGAGAGGUCUCAGUAACCACAGAGAAAAUAUUUCAUCUUUCUCCUCUUUUUUUUCUUUUAAAGAAUGAAAGAGGGAAGUAUUUUUGUAGUCGUCUGGUUGGUUGUGAGGGAGAUGCUAAAUUCUUUAUGGCACAAGAAAACCAGGAUAGCGAGGUAGUUACUGCAGAUUCGCUGGUGUUGUUUAUUUGCUGGUAAUCAGUUAAACAUUUAUGAUAGCGAAUGCAAUUAUAAGUUUAGCUGCAACACCAUCAGAUUCUGUCCCCUUCUACAGAUCAAUGGAUCCACGGUUGUCAAUAGGCCUUUCCCACAAAGCUCAAACAAAGCUUGUGCUUAUAUCCUGAGAAUUUUAAAGUCAAAGCAAGGAAAUAUCAAACGGGAUGCACUGACAGCUCGCGCGUCCGAGUUGUGAUUCUGACAGACAGACAAACCGCUGAGCUGAUGGGAACAAACUGAGCUUUUUUUCUUGUUUUUUUUCCAAAUCUUGUUCGUAGGGGCUUUGUUCAUUUCCCUAUGUAUUUAUAUUCAUAUUUAUAUUUAAUUUUGCUUUCCAUUUGCCAUGUCAAGCCCU